rnacentral:lncRNA from 1 species
UUUUUUUUUUCUUGCAACUCACUCCAAGGACUUAAUUUAAAAUCUGUAGGACUGUGUAUAUGGGAUGUCGAGACAUAAAAACGACAACAACAAAAACGGAAUUUCUUGAAUGGGUACUGAGGAUAAAGUAGAAAAUAGAUUAGAAAUUUGUUAUAGCCUUAGUGGGAGGUAAUUUAAAAUUCUGUUAAUUUGCUCCAGGUUUCAGCAUAAAAGUUUCUUUUUGCUAGUCUGAUCCUAAAUCAAUGACCUAUUCUUUCAAGUGAAUGUUUGCUAUUUUCUUGAGUUCUGGUCCCAAUUUUGCUUUCAAAUUGAAAUUCUAAGCCCAAGGUCCUAGCCUCUGAAUUUCUAUCCCCAAGGCCAUAUUUUAUUCUAAAAAAGACUUUCCAGACAUGGAUUUGUGAAUUCUUGAUUGUCAAGGAUUACUCAUCACUGACCUUCAAUGAGAAACCACAUUACUCAUACAGCUUUGCUUAUUUUGAGAUAGCCUGUCCAUUUGACAAACAAAACCUGUUAGGUUAAAGCUAGAUCAGUUUCAGAUUUUCCUUAGAAUUUUGCUAAGAUUCUGAGCAUCAAACAUUCGUCAAGGUGUCUGCUGUAGAAGCUCCUGGGUUCUUCUAGGCUUGGUGAAGCAGGAAAUUAGAACUCUGCAGUGUUGGGUUGAGUACGCCAUGAUAGAUAGGUACAAAAAGGCCUAGUGGUUCAUUCUAAGCUUUAGACCGCUUCUCGUAUUGUGGAAAAAUCUUACAGAUUUGGAUCAGAAGAGGUUUUAAAGAAUUUCUUGAAUGUCCCUGAUCUUUCCAGAGACCUCUGGUCACAGGCAUUAAAAGGCAGGAUCCAAAAGUUAGGAUGUCUAAAGUCAUAAUUCUAGCAUUGUUUGAAGCAGAAUCUGAGAGUUCAACACUCAUUUCCUCAUCUUUUUCAUUCACUGGAAAUGCACACAGAUGCUGGGACAGCUGGUUUCAUUGGCAAUGAGUCUUUAUUGCUUGCAAGAGUGUACCCUGUAUGCCUGGGUCUGUGCCUUCUGAGAAUUCUGACCAUCUGCCCUUUCAGUAAAGCUUUCUACCCAACGUGCAUUAGAUUAUCUUGCUCAAGUUUAAUACACACUGAGACUGGGCCUCCAGACGUUCUGGAAAUUUAAUGCUCAGAUAUAUAAAUAACACUCAGAUAAAUUGAUGCUCCGUCUCUAUGUACUUUGGUCUUAUUAUGGAAAUGUAAUCCUCAUGGAUACAAUUUGCUCCUAGAGAGAGAUAAUAUGUUUCUAUUGUUCAGAAAACUUAUUCCAUCUAGUGAUGUUUUUCUAAAAUAUAUCCACACUAAUCAUAGGGAAAUUCUCUUAUAGGCAGUUUCAUUAUGGUUCAUUUCCUAUUUUAUUCGGUGGAAUCUGUUUUAUUUUCAGAGUGAAAAUUAGAUUGUUAACAGCCCCUGGGCCAUGGGAGCUCAACUGGUUGCCAUAUAGGUUAGACAAUAAAACAUGGCUGCGUAUCCAGGAUGACCUGUACACUAGGCAUUAUCUAGCUUUUAGAACAUGUAAGCCAAUUCAGUUUUGUGGGAUAGGGUUUAUAUUUUUGGUUUUUGUCUUUGUUGGUAGAUCUGCCACUCAAGGGUAUUAAUUCAAGCGUAGAACUCAAAUUAGGAAAUGAAUUCUGGGAAUAAAUUACCAGGUUAAUCACAUGUACUGAGAAGCACAGGCUGAUGCCAAGUCACCUUCUGGAGGCUGCAUAGUAUAAUGGCUAAAAAAUAUUCUAGAAUACAACUGUUUGGGUCUAUCUCCCAUGACUACUGAUUAUUCCAAUGUAAUUUUAGGCAAAUCACUGGACUCGUGUAUUUUCAUCUGUUUAAGUGUUGAUAUUAAUGUUUUUCUUAUGUUAUACCUAAGUCUGGCAGGGUGAUCAAAAAACCCAUUCCUGUGACACCUGGACCUCUGGUCACCAUGGCCUUCUCAGCUUGUGGCUAUUGCACUGGUUUUCACGACUGGGCAGAGAAGAACCAAGAUUUGUCCAGAUAAAUUAUUUAGUGCCGCAUGCAUUCUUUCUUGCUCAUGCUAUAUCAAAACAGAGAUAUAGCAUGUUCAUCACUGUACCUUGCCCAAAAGUUCUCAGGAAAUUAUCACUGAUUUGAUGAAUGAGUGCAUAAGUGUGCGGAGGUUAAAGCACUUUGGAGUAGCGAUCUCUAAAUUGGAGUAUGUACAUUCCAGGUUUUAUACAAAAUGAUUUAACGAAAUGUGGGAAGUUAAUAUAUUUAUAAUUCUAAUUAUUUUGAUUUAUAUAAAUAUGCAUAGACUCUAUGGUUUAUAAUUUACAUGACAUAUUAUUAAUCAGGAUAUAAAAAAUGCAUAACUGCAUAUAGAAAUGCAGAGUUUCUCAUAUUUUUUGUAGGUAGGGAUCUAUGACAAAAUAUUGGAGACCCUGGACCAGAGUAUUUCAGAAUGCUUGGUCAUACUUGGUAAUGCUCUUACCACAUGUUCUGUAGAAGUAAGGACAAAUAUACAGUUGAUUCUAUACACCACUAAUGCUUUUUUGAAUAAAAUAUAUUCUAUGAAAUAAAAAAAAUUAGGAUUCGUGUUGAGGCUCAGUGGGUUAGGAACUCAACAUAGUAUCUGUGAGGAUGUGAGUUUGAUUCCUGGCCUUGCCGCCAAGCAGCAUAGGCUACAAACUGGGUUCAGCUCUAGUGCUAACAGCCCGGGACCUUCCAUAUACUGCAGGUACAACCAUAAAAAGAAAAACAAACCAACAAAAAACAAUACCUUGCUGUGAAAUAAACUAUAAUUAAUAUACAUUCUGAGGAAAACCUUGUUUCCAUUUUUCUGAAAACCAAUCCAGUUUAUAUAUAUCAGUUUCCUAAUUUUAUUUAGAGCAGUUCUCAACGAUCACUGUAAAGCAACGUAUUUCAUAGUUUUUAUGUCUCUUCAAAUAUUUUCACAGUAGUUUGAUUAUUUAGGUAAAAUUCAAGAAUUUUUAUUUUACUUAUAUCUCAUAAAUGUAAUUUGUUACUUUUUAUUGUACCAGUCCUGUUGUUUCAGAUUCUCAUUAUUCAAUGUAUCUCUCUGUGUAAACCACAGUAUCUACUUCCAAAAAUAUGGGUUUUUCAGCAUUGUGGCAGAAGUUUCUAUGUUAUUUAUUUAUUAGAGCUGUGAUAAAUUCUACAGUCUUUUAAACAAAGCAGAUUGCAAGAAAAUAAAUGACUUGUACAAAGUCAUUUAUUUUGUCCUCUCUUCAUCUUUAGAUAUUCCUGUAUACCAGCCAUAGCUCUGGGGGACUAUUCUUGUUGUCUGCUGGUAGUUUGGUGUCAGGGCCAGAAUUAAACUCAAACUGGUAAAUAUGGACAUAGACAUAAUCAAAAUUACGGUUGAUUGGCAAUGCUACAAUGAUAAGCUUGGCAUCAUAAAACUAUUUGGAAUCAUUAAUGCUGCAUUCAAUGUUGCACUCAGUAUGUGGUAUUCAGAUUACCAAAAGUUGUUCUAUAAACAUGAAUACAUUUGAAAAAAUAUGUCUAAAAUUCAUGUUAAUGUACUUUUAUCUGCCUCAUUUCAAAACAGAUUUUAGAAUAAGGUCAGAGUAUAAAUUGUUUGUUUUUGCCUUUAAAGAGAAAAGAGAUGCAAAAUUGUAACAGGUAAAGCAGCAGUUGCUACAGAGAAAUAUAUGUUGUGGAGUAGAAAAACCUAAUAUCUAAACCUAGGAG